UUAGGGCAGAGUGUGUUGCACAACAUUAGUCAAAGCUUCCUUUGUGCUGGUUGAAUGACCAGUUGAGCAAACAGGUAACCAGCAGCACCAGCAGCAGCCCUGUCACACCGUCGGGAGGAACAACUGCAUGAGCUGUGGUUUGGUGUCGUUUCUCAGGAUUUAGGAACCCUUGCGCUAAACAGCCGCUGCUAACCCGUGUCUGUCCUCUGGGCCUUUGUGAUUGGCUGUUCUCACAGGACUGCAGGGGGGACUUUCACACACGUGCGGCAUAUUCCCGAUCUCCUCUGUGGAUAAGUGCAGCUGUCAAGUGUGCACAAAGUUUCUGUCAACAGAAAUGUCAGCUGGUGAGGCUUUUGUGACCCUUGCCACCACAGACUCUUACUGCAUGGGAGCCACUGUAGUGGCCAGAAGUCUGCGGCGGCAUGGAACAACUCGCCACAUAGUUGCCAUGAUCACACCAAAUGUCUCUGAGCAGUCAAGACUCCCCCUUAAAGAUGUGUUUGAUGAAGUGAUUGUGGUGGAUGUGAUGGACAGUGAAGAUUACCACCACUUGUCCUUGCUUGGACGUCCUGAGCUUGGUAUCACUUUCACUAAGAUCCACUGCUGGACUCUGACACAGUAUAGCAAAUGUGUCUUUCUGGAUGCCGACACUCUGGUGCUGUGUAACGUGGACGAGCUGUUUGACAGGGAUGAGCUGUCAGCCGCUCCUGAUCCCGGCUGGCCCGACUGUUUCAACUCAGGAGUGUUUGUCUUCAGACCGUCCCUUCACACUCACACCAGAUUGCUGGAUCACGCCAGUCGCCACGGCAGCUUUGAUGGAGGAGACCAAGGACUGUUGAACUCUUUCUUCAGUAGCUGGUCAGUGGAAGACAUCAGUAAACACCUGCCGUUUGUUUACAACCUCAGUGCCAGCUCGGUCUACAGCUACCUUCCUGCUUUCCAACAGUUUGGCCACAAUGCAAAGAUCAUCCACUUUCUUGGGGCAGACAAACCCUGGAACUCGCAGGGAAACAGCAGCUACUCGCACAACAUGGAGCAGUUUGUGUCUCUGUGGUGGAAGGAAUACCUUAUUCACACAGUGUCAUCUGCUCCAGUUGUCCAGCCCAAGCAAGAGCAGAAGAAACUACAACAGAUCCAAGAAAGAGAAGCCAAGAUGCUGUUUACAGAAAACUUGGACAGCUCGAAUUCACUGCUUGCACAUUUUUCUCCUCCUCCUCCUGCAGAGUACCUUUAUUCACAGUCUGAACCAGCUGUGUAUGAUCACAGCUAUGAACAUGCAUCAGCAGAGUUAUCACGAUCCCCACGAUCAGUGUUCCCACACAGAUGGCACACAGUUGGAGGAGGAGUCGAGAUCAUCUGAGGAGUCAGAAGCUGAGGAUCCACCUUUGGGGGCAGAAUGCUCUGAAAGCAGUGACGUUCCUGCAGACACGGCUGCUGAUCCCGUGUGUAAUCCUUGGGCUUUAAACCACAUACAAACACCUGCAGACACCGAGACUGAGCCGCUGGAUCACCGCAGGCUGUGGGAGAUGGGACAGAUGGACUACCUCGGCAGAGAUGCCUUUCAAAACAUCCAAAGGAUGCUGGACCGCUUUUUGGAUUAAAAAA